GUAGGUGAACCUGCGGAAGGAUCAUUAACACGUAUCCAACGUUAAAACAACCCUGUGAACCUUCAUUCCUGCUCUCUUUGGGCCUAUGAGUUAGCAAUCUCUGGUAAAUCACGCGAACAGUUUGAUUCAGAGACCUCUAAUUUACGCCCUUAGAUUCGACGCGGUCGACUGCAUUGGAACUUGACCUCCGGGGGGCAGUUAGUGGGUGAAAGUGCCACUAAUUGCCUAUCUCAGGAGUACGGCACUUGCU
rnacentral:misc_RNA from 1 species